GAUAGCUGGUUCUCCUCGAAAUGCAUUUAGGUGCAGCGUCUGUUGAUUACUAUCGGGGGUAUAGCACUGAAUUGGCUAGGGGGCUCACCAGCUUACCAAACCAUAUCAAACUCAGAAUACCGAUAAGUACAGACAGGCAGUGACACUGCGGAUGCUAAGGUCCGUAGUGGAAAGGGAAAGAGCCCAGAUCGACGUCUAAGGUCCCUAAAUUAUCACUAAGUGGGAAAGGUUGUGGAACUACUGUGACAUCCAGGAGGUUGGCUUAGAAGCAGCCACCCUUUAAAGAAAGCGUAAUAGCUCACUGGACUAGUGGUUCUGCGCCGAAAAUGUAACGGGGCUAAGUGAUAUACCGAAGACUCGAACUUGCUUUUGCAAGUGGUAGAGGAGCAUUGUGUUUACCGACGAAGGCGUACCGUGAGGAGCGCUGGAGGUCCCACAAGAGCUGAUGGUGGCAUAAGUAGCGAUAAGGGAGGCGAGAAUCCUCCCCGCCGAAAAUCCAAGGGUUCCUAGGCCAGGUGACUCCGCCUAGGGUAAGCCGGUACCUAAGCCGAGGCUGAAAAGCGUAGGUGAUGGACGACAGGUUAAUAUUCCUGUGCUUGGUGUGAUUUACUGAGGAGUGACGGAGAAAGGUAGCUGUACCGGGCGUUUGGUUGUCCCGGGUCAAGCGAGUAGGGUGUUGAGUAGGCAAAUCCGCUCAACGUAUAGCCUGAGACGUGAUGAGGAGCCUUCGGGCGAAGUCAGUGAUCCUAUGCUUCCUAGAAAAACUUCGUAGGCGUACACAUCAAUCCGUACCCCAAACCGACACAGGUGGAUGGGAUGAGAAUUCUAAGGCGAUUGGACGAACUCUUGUUAAGGAACUCUGCAAAAUGGUGCCGUAACUUCGGGAUAAGGCACGCCAGUGCGUACGUGUAGUCACUUGCUGACGAAGCGGAAGCUGGCCGCAGUGAAAAGGGGGUAGCGACUGUUUAUCAAAAACAUAGGUCUAUGCAAACACGCAAGUGGAUGUAUAUGGACUGACGCCUGCCCGGUGCUCGAAGGUUAAGAGGUGAGGUUAGCGCAAGCGAAGCUUUAAAUCGAAGCCCGAGUAAACGGCGGCCGUAACAAUAACGGUCCUAAGG
rnacentral:rRNA from 1 species